UACGAAGGGGGCGAGCGUUGUUCGGAAUUACUGGGCGUAAAGGGCGCGUAGGCGGCCCCUUUUGUCGCGUGUGAAAGCCCCGGGCUCAACCUGGGAGGUGCGCGCGAAACGGGGGGGCUUGAGUUCGGGAGAGGAGCGUGGAAUUCCCAGUGUAGAGGUGAAAUUCGUAGAUAUUGGGAAGAACACCGGUGGCGAAGGCGGCGCUCUGGACCGAGACUGACGCUGAGGCGCGAAAGCGUGGGGAGCAAACAGG
rnacentral:rRNA from 1 species